rnacentral:rRNA from 1 species
UACGGAGGGUGCAAGCGUUAAUCGGAAUUACUGGGCGUAAAGCGUGCGCAGGCGGUUUGUUAAGUCCGCUGUGAAAUCCCCGAGCUCAACUUGGGAAUUGCAGUGGAUACUGGCAAGCUGGAGUAUGGUAGAGGAAGGUGGAAUUCCCGGUGUAGCAGUGAAAUGCGUAGAGAUCGGGAGGAACACCAGUGGCGAAGGCGGCCUUCUGGACCAAUACUGACGCCCAUGCACGAAAGCGUGGGGAGCAAACAGG